rnacentral:rRNA from 1 species
AAGCCUGAUGCAGCCAUGCCGCGUGUGUGAAGAAGGCCUUCGGGUUGUAAAGCACUUUCAGUCAGGAGGAAAGGUUAGUAGUUAAUACCUGCUAGCUGUGACGUUACUGACAGAAGAAGCACCGGCUAACUCCGUGCCAGCAGCCGCGGUAAUACGGAGGGUGCGAGCGUUAAUCGGAAUUACUGGGCGUAAAGCGUACGCAGGCGGUUUGUUAAGCGAGAUGUGAAAGCCCCGGGCUCAACCUGGGAACUGCAUUUCGAACUGGCAAACUAGAGUGUGAUAGAGGGUGGUAGAAUUUCAGGUGUAGCGGUGAAAUGCGUAGAGAUCUGAAGGAAUACCGAUGGCGAAGGCAGCCACCUGGGUCAACACUGACGCUCAUGUACGAAAGCGUGGGGAGCAAACGGGAUUAGAUACCCCGGUAGUCCACGCCGUAAACGAUGUCUACUAGAAGCUCGGAGCCUCGGUUCUGUUUUUCAAAGCUAACGCAUUAAGUAGACCGCCUGGGGAGUACGGCCGCAAGGUUAAAACUCAAAUGAAUUGACG